UAUCCUGGUGAGAGUCCCGAAAAGCCACUUAAAGCAUAGUUUGGGCCUUUGGGGACCACCACAUCAUGGGCUCCACAGUCCAAAACUCGACCCGAAUCCGACUCCGUUAGACCCGCUUUCCGUUUUUAACAAUUGAAGAAAAUUGCUCAUUGCCCCGUCGAAAACAGAGAAGAAGCAGAAGCAAUAGCUGAAGAAGUAGGACUUUUGUACAGAAUGAUGGCAGAAGAGUAACAGCAUGUGUCUAGCAUGGCUAACGACCCACCAGCAAGACUCAAAGACAACUUCUCGAGCAAAUUUCCGUUAAAGAGUCCUUGGGAACAAUCUUCCUUUGGGGUGGUCUUUAAACAUAAGAGAGAACCAAAGUUAAAAAAGAGAUGCUGGGAGUUUCAUAUGGAGAGCUAUUUCUGUUGCUUGGCGCUACUGCUGCUCUUAUUGGACCUAACGAUCUGCCAAUCAUAGCAAGAACAGCAGGCAGAUUUGCUGGGCAUGCCAUUGGUUAUGUUCAAUUGGCCCGUGGCCAGUUCGAAAGUGUCAUGCAGCAGUCCCAAGCUCACCAGGUGCAUAAGGAACUGCAAGAUACCAUGGCUCAAUUAGAAGCCAUACGUCAUGAAAUUCGAACUAUCUCUUUUAUGAAUCCUGGUCCAUUGACAUCAAGGCUAGUAGACAACAUCAACGCUACAGCUGGGGCUAGUAUGACUGCAAAUGGACCUCAAAAAUCUGAUGAAGAGAGCACAAUCGUUGAAAAUGAACCUAAAAUAUCUGAUGAAGAGAUUACAAUAGUUGAAAAUAGACUUCAAAAAUCUGAUAAAGAGAACAAAACAGUAACUGCCACAACUAAGGAGCAUAAUUUGAGGAACUCAGCUUUUUCUGAUAUGCACAGCCAAGCAGCUGCUUAUGCGAGAUUGGCAGAAAUGGCUCCUUUGAAACCCGUGUCUGUAGAUGGAGAAGGUCUGAGUGAACUGACUGAUGAAUCUGACAGUAUUAUUAUACGUCCUGUCUCUGCUGAAAGAGCAGGAUUGUUGCCAGAACGUAAAGAUGGAGCAAAAGGCUCUGACAUUGUCUUAGAAGCAAUAUUGGAGGCAGAUGUGGCAAAGAAUGUCAAAGAAUUUUUCUCUCAGCCACAAAACCACUUAAGAAGUGAACGAAGAGCAGUUUUUGAAAGAGGUGGUGAAUGAGCUCUGCAUCUGCAACAAAAGAGGAACAAACCAAGAGAACAUUUUAGCUGAAGCCGGAGUGUAAGAAAUCUGCAGCGGAUAAAGGAACAGGUGAGGUUGUUGAGAGGAUAUCUUUCUAUGGAAGAGAGGAGAUGAAACAUUUUUGGAGUAGCUUACGAUGGCUUGGAGAUCCACAUUAUUAAUGUGUAGUUUUCAUUGAGGGGUGUGAUGUCUAUUGCUUAGGAUAAGAAUGCUGUGUCAUCAACAUUUAUGCAGAGGUUUUUACUUGAUAGAGGACGCUUCCUUUGGAGCCUUCGCCUAGGGUAGUGUGCUUAUUCGAUGGAUUUUUCAGUAUUUGUGAAUGCAAAGAAAUGUUCGAGCUUAUAAUUAAGGUGCCAAACUGUAGAUUUCUUUUUUCUGCGGGUUUCAACAAAUAGCAGGUUGAGAGGAUUUGGAGAUGCAGAGACAGAAUUUCGGGCACUCAUGAUCGUUUAUCUGACAAGUACUCUUUCCACUAAUGUUGUCCACGUCAUACUGAACAGAUGUACCUGUAUUUUUGCUACAUCGCAAAGAAAAUGAUUGCUGCUCACUACUUAAUGUCAUUGAUCUUGUUCAAUUCUACAUUGAAGUUUAUUC